GACGAACGCUGGCGGCGUGCUUAACACAUGCAAGUCGUACGGUAAGGCCCUUUCGGGGGUACACGAGUGGCGAACGGGUGAGUAACACGUGCGUAACCUGCCCACAACUUUGGGAUAACGCUAGGAAACUGGUGCUAAUACUGGAUAUGUGCUCCUGCUGCAUGGUGGGGGUUGGAAAGCUCCGGCGGUUGUGGAUGGACUCGCGGCCUAUCUGCUUGUUGGUGGGGUAGUGGCCUACCAAGGCGGCGACGGGUAGCCGGCCUGAGAGGGUGACCGGCCACAUUGGGACUGAGAUACGGCCCAGACUCCUACGGGAGGCAGCAGUGGGGAAUAUUGCACAAUGGGCGCAAGCCUGAUGCAGCAACGCCGCGUGCGGGAUGACGGCCUUCGGGUUGUAAACCGCUUUCAGCAGGGACGAAGCUUUUUGUGACGGUACCUGCAGAAGAAGCACCGGCUAACUACGUG
rnacentral:rRNA from 1 species